CUACGGAGGGUGCAAGCGUUACUCGGAAUCACUGGGCGUAAAGCGCAUGCAGGCGGUCUAAUAAGUUGGAAGUGAAAGCCUAUGGCUCAACCAUAGAACUGCUUCCAAAACUGUUAGACUAGAGUCUGGGAGGGGAAGAUGGAAUUAGUAGUGUAGGGGUAAAAUCCGUAGAGAUUACUAGGAAUACCAAAAGCGAAGGCGAUCUUCUGGAACAGUUCUGACGCUGAGAUGCGAAAGCGUGGGGAGCAAACAGGAUUAGAAACCCCAGUAGUCC
rnacentral:rRNA from 1 species